rnacentral:rRNA from 1 species
UACGUAGGCAGCAAGCGUUGUUCGGAAUUACUGGGCGUAAAGAGUGUGUAGGCGGUGCUCUAAGUUCGGUGUGAAAUCUCCCGGCUUAACUGGGAGGGUGCGCCGGAAACUGGAGUGCUCGAGCGUGGGAGAGGAAAGCGGAAUUCCUGGUGUAGCGGUGAAAUGCGUAGAUAUCAGGAGGAACACCGGUGGUGUAGACGGCUUUCUGGACCAUAGCUGACGCUGAGACACGAAAGCGUGGGGAGCGAACGGG